rnacentral:rRNA from 1 species
AAUAGAUACCCUGGUAGUCCACGCCGUAAACGAUGGAUACUAGCUGUUUGAGCGCAAGUUUGAGUGGCUAAGCGAAAGUGAUAAGUAUCCCACCUGGGGAGUACGGGCGCAAGCCUGAAACUCAAAGGAAUUGACGGGGGCCCGCACAAGCGGUGGAGCAUGUGGUUUAAUUCGAUGAUACGCGAGGAACCUUACCAGGGCUUAAAUGUAGAUUGACGUAUUUGGAAACAGAUAUUUCUUCGGACAAUUUACAAGGUGCUGCAUGGUUGUCGUCAGCCCGUGCCGUGAGGUGUCAGGUUAAGUCCUAUAACGAGCGCAACCCCUGUUGUUAGUUGCCAGCGAGUAAUGUCGGGAACUCUAGCAAGACUGCCAGUGUAAACUGUGAGGAAGGUGGGGAUGACGUCAAAUCAUCACGGCCCUUACGUCCUGGGCCACACACGUGCUACAAUGGCCGGUACAGAGAGCAGCCACUUAGCGAUAAAGAGCGAAAUCUAUAAAAGCCGGUCACAGUUCGGAUCGGAGU